rnacentral:ncRNA from 1 species
GUCAAAAGCAAACCUGGAGAAAUCCAGCGACGCAAAACUACAGGGUCUUAAAUUAAAAAGAUAGCCAGUUGCC